GGCGGACGGGUGAGUAACGCGUGGGUAACCUGCCUUACACAAGGGGAUAGCCGUUGGAAACGACGAAUAAUACCCUAUGAUGUUUCUAUCUCGCAUGAGAUAUUAACCAAAGUGUUAGCGGUGUAAGAUGGACUUGCGUCUGAUUAGCUAGUUGGUGAGAAAAAAGCCCACCAAGGCAACGAUCAGUAGCCGGCUUGAGAGAGUGUACGGCCACAUUGGGACUGAGACACGGCCCAG
rnacentral:rRNA from 1 species